rnacentral:rRNA from 1 species
CCAGACUCCUACGGGAGGCAGCAGUAGGGAAUCUUCCGCAAUGGGCGAAAGCCUGACGGAGCAACGCCGCGUGAGUGAAGAAGGUCUUCGGAUCGUAAAACUCUGUUAUUAGGGAAGAACAAAUGUGUAAGUAACUAUGCACGUCUUGACGGUACCUAAUCAGAAAGCCACGGCUAACUACGUGCCAGCAGCCGCGGUAAUACGUAGGUGGCAAGCGUUAUCCGGAAUUAUUGGGCGUAAAGCGCGCGUAGGCGGUUUUUUAAGUCUGAUGUGAAAGCCCACGGCUCAACCGUGGAGGGUCAUUGGAAACUGGAAAACUUGAGUGCAGAAGAGGAAAGUGGAAUUCCAUGUGUAGCGGUGAAAUGCGCAGAGAUAUGGAGGAACACCAGUGGCGAAGGCGACUUUCUGGUCUGUAACUGACGCUGAUGUGCGAAAGCGUGGGGAUCAAACAGGAUUAGAUACCCUGGUAGUCCACGCCGUAAACGAUGAGUGCUAAGUGUUAGGGGGUUUCCGCCCCUUAGUGCUGCAGCUAACGCAUUAAGCACUCCGCCUGGGGAGUACGACCGCAAGGUUGAAACUCAAAGGAAUUGACGGGGGCCCGCACAAGA